rnacentral:rRNA from 1 species
CCUAGUAACGGCGAGUGAAGCGGCAACAGCUCAAAUUUGAAAUCUGGCCUCGGCCCGAGUUGUAAUUUGCAGAGGAUGCUUCUGGCGCGGUGCCUUCCGAGUUCCCUGGAACGGGACGCCACAGAGGGUGAGAGCCCCGUAUGGUCGGACACCAAGCCUGUGUGAAGCUCCUUCGACGAGUCGAGUAGUUUGGGAAUGCUGCUCUAAAUGGGAGGUAAAUCUCUUCUAAAGCUAAAUACCGGCCAGAGACCGAUAGCGCACAAGUAGAGUGAUCGAAAGAUGAAAAGCACCUUGAAAAGGGGGUUAAAUAGUACGUGAAAUUGUUGAAAGGGAAGCACUUAUGACCAGACUUGGGCCGGGCGGCUCAUCAGGGGUUCUCCCCUGUGCACUCCGCCCGGCACAGGCCAGCAUCGGUUCUCGUGGGGGGAUAAGACCGUCAGGAACGUAGCACCCUCCGGGGUGUGUUAUAGCCUGGCGGACGAUACCCCCGCGGGGACCGAGGUCCGCGCUCCGCAAGGAUGCUGGCGUAAUGGUCAUCAGUGACCCGUCUUGAAACACGGACCAAGGAGUCGUCCAUUAGAGCGAGCGUUUGGGUGUAAAACCCGCACGCGUAAUGAAAGUGAACGCAGGUGAGAGCUUCGGCGCAUCAUCGACCGAUCCUGAUGUUCUCGGAAGGAUUUGAGUAAGAGUUUUAACGGACGGACCCGAAAGACAGUGAACUAUGCUUGUAUAGGGUGAAGCCAGAGGAAACUCUGGUGGAGGCUCGCAGCGGUUCUGACGUGCAAAUCGAUCGUCAAAUAUGAGCAUGGGGGCGAAAGACUAAUCGAACUGUCUAGUAGCUGGUUACCGCCGAAGUUUCCCUCAGGAUAGCAGUGUUGAUCUUCAGUUUUAUGAGGUAAAGCGAAUGAUUAGGGACUCGGGGGCUAUAUAUUGCCUUCAUCCAUUCUCAAACUUUAAAUAUGUAAGAAGCCCUUGUUACUUAAUUGAACGUGGGCAUUCGAAUGUACCAACACUAGUGGGCCAUUUUUGGUAAGCAGAACUGGCGAUGCGGGAUGAACCGAACGCGGGGUUAAGGCGCCAGAGUGUACGCUCAUCAGACACCACAAAAGGCGUUAGUACAUCUUGACAGCAGGACGGUGGCCAUGGAAGUCGGAAUCCGCUAAGGACUGUGUAACAACUCACCUGCCGAAUGUACUAGCCCUGAAAAUGGAUGGCGCUCAAGCGUACCGCCCAUACCCCGCCCCCAGGGUAGAAACGAUGCCCUGGGGAGUAGGCGGCCGUGGGGGUCUGUGACGAAGCC